rnacentral:rRNA from 1 species
AGGAUGAACGCUGGCGGCGUGCUUAACACAUGCAAGUCACGGGGGCUCAGCAAUGGGCAACCGGCGAACGGGUGCGUAACACGUGAGCAACCUACCGAAAUGAGGGGGAUAGCCGGCCCAACGGCCGGGUAAUACCGCAUAAGCUCAGAUCCAGGCAUUUGGGUCUGAGGAAACCUCCGGGGCGUUUCGAGGGGCUCGCGGCCUAUCAGCUAGUUGGCGAGGUAAUGGCUCACCAAGGCGACGACGGGUAG